CUUGUACCAGUUGGCAUUAGGUUUUUCCAUGACCCAAUAUUUUGGACUGUGAGCUCCCUGAAGAUGAGCCAUGUAUGUUACUCCUAGAGGCUAAAACAGUGCCUUUCCCGUCGGGGUAAUUUCCACAGUAUACUGUGACUUUUUAUGUCUUUCAUACUACUCAAUAUACCACAUGUUACAAAUGAGGUCUCUUCUGUCUUUCCACUGGGAACCAUGUCUUAUUCAUCUUUGCUUUUUUCUAGGGCCUAAUCCAGUAUCUACAAGAUGGCAGAUAUUCAUUAUGUUUAUUCACUUAACAAAUAUUUUAUUUGUUAUUCAGCAAAGAUUUUCUCUCAGCUGUGUUACAUCAGUUUUAGAUGGCACACAGGUGAACAGGCUUGAUAAAGAGCAAAUCUGUGAAAAGCAAACACUUGUGGACUAAAUGAUAUCACAUUUACAGAGCUGUAAGAGAGAUACAAGUCACCCUGGGCACUGAGUUUUAUGUUGUAUUGUUUAACUUUCCAUUUCUCUUGGUUCAAUUUUAGUUUCUCUCUUAAAAUUAUAAUUCUACCCUUUGCAUUCUCACCACCAAUCAUUUAUUGCUGCAUAUGUCUUUCCCCCUCCAUAUACUGUGCUCCUUAAUUCACUAAGGGACUGUGCUAACAUGUAGCCUAAAUACUCACCUUCUAGCCACCCUUCAGGAGGGUAUUAGCUAUAUUUGUGCACAGUGAAGGUGCCUUCAAGGCAGAAGGCUUCCUCCCCUACCACGGCACUUCCAAACCUUUUUCCUUUCCACAAAUGCUAGUGCUAGGCAGCUGUGUUCACUAUUGUCUGCCUUCUCUGUAGUUCUCGACUUUGCCUGUACAUUAUAACCACCUGGUAUUUUAAUAUUUUCCAUGUCCAGGUUGCAGUCCAAACCAAUGAAGUCAGAAUCUCUGGAGGUGGGACAAAGGCAUUUGUAGUUUUUAGGCUUCUCAGAUGAUUCCAGUGUGCAGUGAACACUGAACGCUAUUGCUUAGGAGAAAAUGCAGUCACUUGAUAUUUGAAGUGUAGGUAAUUUCUUUAGCCCUCAAAAUAUGUUCAUUCCUUUUCUAGUCCUUAUUAUCCCGUCCAAGUCUGAAAAUAUUUACAUUGCUAUUUAAUCAGAAGUAAAGCAAUUAAAAUGUACAUGUUACUCAAGAAGAAGCAGCAUUAGACCAUUGCUUGACUUAUCACCUGUGUGGUUAUUAAGCUAUUGUCUCCACUUGGAAACACCUUUCUGUAUUCUUUGUGACUCUGGGUUUUUUUCCACCAUCUGGCUCUUAGGUGGCACUAGAAGAGGACCACAAGUCUGCCAGAGGGAGGAGAGGAUUGCUUCUUCCUGUUCCCAUUAGUGUCACCUCGACAGUGACUUUUGACCCUGGAGUGGCAGAGAAGUUUCUAGAUUAUUUGGGUACUCCCAAAAUCAGUCUUGUUGCACCCCCUGAGAGAUACCAGCAGCAAUGAAGUGUGAGUCCCAGAUCUGGGCUCCCCCUCAAAGAUUCUGUGUUUUCACAAUCCCUUGUGCUUAUUACUGGUGUUACCUUAGUGUCCUUUUUUUUUUUUUAAUUUUUCAAUACUUGUCCAGCAAGUUUCCUAUACUAAAUUGCUAUAUGGAAACAUCUAUUCUUCUCUUCUUUGACUGUACCUAACUCAAAAUGCCUUCUCAUUUAACAACCAGUGCUCUGCAACAAGGUGGGCUUUCUAGGAAGGCAAAUAACAAGAAGGCUCAGGUUGGCUUGUCUCCAUCUGGGGCAAUAGGAGUGUGCUGGAAGUCUUCCAAGUGAAUAAGAGUGAGAAGAAGAUGCUAGAAUGAAGAGGUGGACAGACAUAGGCAGGGAAAGUUCACUGGAUACAAACUUUAUUACCUUCAUUAUUUUCCUAGGUCUGUCUUAGCUGAGAGACUCUGAGAGUAUUAAUCAGAGAUAAAUGGGAAGCAAGUAAGAGUCCAUAGUAAUCCAUAGUGACAUUUAUUAAUAAUACACAUCUUCUGCUCUGCAUCUCUUCUCCUUCCCAUAAGCCCACAGUUUGUCCACACAUAAGCAUAUGUGGUUUUGUCCUUAAUAAUAGGGUAGUGCAAAUAGUUAAUUACUCCUACUGCCACGAGUGGCAUGCUGGAGACCAUCCUGUCUGUUCUUAUGUAACUUGUCAUAAAUCCACGUGGAUAUGUAUCUCAUUAAGAUAACCAUUUAGGCUUUGCUUUUUCAGAAUUGUCUACUUUGAUCAGUAGUAUUUUAACUGUAAAAUAAGGAUGGUUUCACUUGGUCCAAGUGUCCCUAUGGUAUCUAAUAUAUUUAACUUUACAAACAGUUUUAUACAAGCAGUACAUUGACCAAUGAGCUGUAAUGAGUAGAAUUUGGAUGUUCAUGAGGGAGAUUUAAGUUCACACCUCAUUUUCCUAGACUUCUUCACUGUCUUGACACUUUCCUAUUAUUAGCUCUCUUUUUGGAGAUAUUUUGUGUUGAAAAUCCAAAAAGUUCUCAGUCACCUCCUGAGAAUUUUUGCAUAUACAACAAUGUAAAGAAAAACUAGGUCUUGCUAAGAUGUAGUACCUAGGAUCAACUGGUAGUCUAGGAAUUUGACUACGGUCCACAAUUCAAAUUGGUGGGCCAAACAAUAACAAAGGUGGACUUUUGGCGUUACUUUUGCACAUUCGCUUUUUGUAUCCUCGCUAAAGAGGUGAAGUAACUAUUAGCCAGUGUGUUGAGGGGAAAUUCAGUACUGCCUGGAGGCUCUACUGUGUAUUCUACACCUCCUGGUCUCCAAUUAGAUCUUUAUUUCUUGUUUCUAAUACUUAACUGUAGAAAAAAAUUUAGUUCUAGAAUCUGGAUACUGAGCAACACUGCAACUCUCUUUCUUAGUUCAAAUAGUCUCAUCUGCUUUUCUUUGAUGAAUCUGUUUCUUUGUAGGAUCUGUUUCUCUGUGGGAUCAACAUUCUCUGUGUGUUGGAAAGGACGUCUUAUACCGUCUUUGACAGGGAGAGUCACUUUCUGUUUGUACGUGAACAAUCAAAGCAAUCUUCCUUCUCUCACAUUGAAUGAGUAGGUCAAACAGUAUUGGUAAUAUUGCCUACUUUACUGUUAUAUUGAUUAUAUUAGUUUAUUUGCAUUUUUUUUUUGUGAUCUAGAGCUUCAGUUGAACCUUUCAUUCUUACCAUGAUUAUUUAGUAAGACCACAGAUCCACCCACUAACUUAAAGGAGAAUGAACAGCUAACUAACCCUGCCAUUGAUUAGGAAAACAAAGAAACAAAGGCAAUAAAGCCCUUCAAAAAUGUAUGUAACCAGAAAGCACUGCAUAGUAGAAAUAUCACUGUAAAUGGAGUCAGGAGAUGUGGAUUCUCGUCAAAGCCCUACCACUUAUUAACUGAGUGACCAUAGAAUGUUGCUUAACCUCUCUGAACCUUAGUGUCCUAUUCCAUAAUGCGAAACGUAAGUUAUAAUAUGCAUUUUGUCCACCUUGCAGACAAGGAUCUUUUACAGAGGCUGAAAUUCCUCCAACUCUUCUGUUCAGGUUGACUUUCUGGAAAAGUGCUUUAUUCUCAGAGGAUUUGAUUAUUGAGUUAUCUUUCUAUUCUGCUGCUGUCAGUAGAUUUGCCAUAAAUGUUUCCUGAGAGUCUCUCUCUUGAAGAGAUUCAGGCCCCAGUUAAGUUCAUCCCAAUUAAAAAUAGAACCCUGAGAUGCAGCAGCUGUAGCACCUCUUAAACCUCUUCAAAUAACAUUGAACGAUUAAGUGGCUGCUACUGUGGAGAUAGUGCGCACAAAACCAGCAGCAGGCCCUCUCGGACAAUGAUAACACUCUAAGUGGCUGUCAGUCCUUAGUCAUUUCUAGUCAUUCAGGGGAUGUUGCCUUAUCUUCUAUGAGUUCUAAAGUUCCUGGGGAGAGAAGAAUCACAUAAAUUCUUUAUUUAAAAAAAUCCCCCUUCUCACAACAAAAUUCUCUAAAACAAUGCUAAACAAGCAGGCAUGCACAAUUCUAUCAUUUGAGUGGAAGAGAAUGCUAUACUUACCAACAUUUCUGUCUGGCAGUUUUGGGGUAAAAGUCUGAUGAAGUGAUAUUGUCUGGAAAAUGAGCAUCGAUUCCUAGGGAGAUGGAAGAAUUUACUUCUUUUUUCCUAUUUCUUGAAUACAUGACUAGCUUUCAAAUAUAUGACUCAAGAAUUAAAUUCGGCUUGAAUGGAUUGUUUUCUGACUUUGUUUCUUAUUUUCUUCUGAUUUAUCAAGAAGAGAUUAAAAAUAAACUUUCCUUAUCCCAUCCGUAAUAGAAAUUUCAGCUAUUAAGAACUUACCAAGAGAAAAAUUAUAGAAGUCACUAAAGCUCAGAGGGAGAUCUCUUUGUUAUAUUUCAACAGCUAUUUGCUUUGGAGACAUUUCUUUUCCCCCUUUGUAAAGCUAAAUUGCACAUAUCACUAUUUAUUAAUAAGCAGAAUGACAACUAUUUAGGUUGCCAAAUCUCUUUUAUAAACAUUUCUUUAGCUAGGUAGGAUUUUUAUAUACUUUCCCAAAGGGCCAAGUUGACAGACAUGGGCUUUUGCUUUAUUUCCGUAGAGAUCUGGAUCCAAAUCCCUGGGUCCAAAUAUAUGCCAUUCACUUCCCAUAUUUAGUCCUGUGAUCUCUCUGAAGACUGGCCCAAGAGAGGCCUUUCUGAUGAGACUGUUAGUACAGCGAUUAGUCACCAGAUAAACAUGUGAAUGGGUCCGUUUGCAAAGUGAGAGCUCCCUAAACAGUGGCUUAUCCUUUACAAAAAGAGCAGGUCCAAUUUUCCUUAAAAGUUCAUGGCUGCUUAUGUGGUGUGAUUUGAGAAAUCUUGAACCUUCUGUCCCUAUUACUUUUCCUGUUGAGCUCUACAUUUCAUAGUGUAUCACUCCUGUAGAUGAAACCUGGCCUCUCCAGGGCAUUUUCUCUAAUAAAUGGCCAUAGUCCUGGGAAAGGUCCUGAUGCCGUAGUGUGCAGUGUGCUUGACACCAUAAGAUCCUUUUUUCUUUUACAAAAAAAAAAAAAAAAAAAAAAAA
rnacentral:lncRNA from 1 species